UCUCGACCUGAGUUCAGGCAGGGCUAC
rnacentral:rRNA from 1 species